GAGAGGCCAUUUGAACGUUCUGAACACCACCGACGGUUUCUCUCUUCGGUUGACAAGCAAAUGACGUUUUUUCAUUAUUAAAAAGGGAACUGCCUCCUAGAACCUUCUCUGGUUAUAAAGGACUAUAUGGCAUCGAUAUGAGAACCGUCAGACACAUUCAUUCUCGUGACAACAUUGGAUAAUGAAUAGGAUCAAUUUGGUCAUAAAAUCAGUCUCGUCCAAAACGAGAUUUGGAAGUGAGUGCGUCGCAACAGGUAUGGAUGGGUUUGGUAUAAAUUACUAGCUUUUACCAAUGAUGUCUGAUUGUCCAGAGACAACAAACAAGGCCGAGGUCCUGACACAAGCUGACAUGUGUUGUGGACAUGUUGUCAAGUCUGCAAUGCACGCACACUUGCUAGGUAUAGGAGUGAAAAUUGGGCUUACAUAAAGUUGAUGCAAACUUUAAUACUUCAACAAUAUUGUGCAAGAUGGCAAGGAACAAACAUUGAUGGCUGUGACUGGUGUGAAGCUAGCUAACUACAGCACGAUACUGUAGGGAUCUUUAAAUGUACCACAGAAGAACCAAGAAAUGAAGAGCAACGCCUCGGCUGACUUUUUUGAGCUUUUAUGUAGAUCUGCAAUUAUAUUAUGAAAAGGGAAGACCGGAAGAUCAUCAGUCUGAGGAAAGCAGUGUCGUCGGGAAACCUUCCAUCCAUAUCAGGAGUAGAAGGCUGAGGCAGACCUUGGCAAGGCAACAGACACAUUUCAGGUUGGUCACGUUUGAUCUGGUCAUAGGUCAAAAUACUAUCACUUGUCUGCCCUGGAAUUCACCUAACACCUACCAUUGAUAAUGUAAUCAGUGCUGUGUUUUCUACAGAUGGAGGACGGGUGAGAUGGUUUGUCAGGGAGUCCCCUGACUGACUAACAGACAGGUUGAUACAGAUGGAGUCCCCUGACUGACUAACAGACAGGUUGAUACAGAUGGAGUCCCCUGACUAACAGACAGGUUGAUACAGAUGGAGUCCCCUGACUGACUAACAGACAGGUUGAUACAGAUGGAGUCCCCUGACUAACAGACAGGUUGAUACAGAUGGAGUCCCCUGACUAACAGACAGGUUGAUACAGAUGGAGACUACUGACUAACAGACAGGUUGAUACAGAUGGAGUCCCUGACUGACUAACAGACAGGUUGAUACAGAUGGAGUCCCCUGACUAACAGACAGGUUGAUACAGAUGGAGUCCCCUGACUAACAGACAGGUUGAUACAGAUGGAGUCCCCUGACUAACAGACAGGUUGAUACAGAUGGAGUCCCCUGACUAACAGACAGGUUGAUACAGAUGGAGUCCCCUGACUAACAGACAGGUUGAUACAGAUGGAGUCCCCUGACUGACUAACAGACAGGUUGAUACAGAUGGAGUCCCCUGACUAACAGACAGGUUGAUACAGAUGGAGUCCCCUGACUAACAGACAGGUUGAUACAGAUGGAGUCCCCUGACUAACAGACAGGUUGAUACAGAUGGAGUCCCCUGACUAACAGACAGGUUGAUACAGAUGGAGUCCCCUGACUAACAGACAGGUUGAUACAGGAGAAAUGGUUUGUCAUGGAGUCCCCUGAAACAGAUGUCUGAACUAGAGACCUUGCUCUCAGCAUUACAAUGAUACUAGUACUUGUCAUCAUCUUCUGUUAUUAUUGAAUUUUAAUGGUAGGAGGGGGGUUGACCCUGUGUAUUCUUCAAACUUGUCAGGGAACUGUCCUAUAUGGGACACCAUACGAAGGGAUACUGACUAAUAUGUACCACCAGGGGCAGCGUAGCUUAGUGGUUAGAGUUUAGAGGUGGCAGGUAGCCUAGUGGAUAGAGUGUAGACCUGACCCCUCCUGUCUCAGCCUCCAGUAUUUAUGCUGCAGUAGUUUUUGUGUCGGGGGGCUAGGGUCAGUUUGUUAUAUCUGGAGUACUUCUCCUGUCCUAUUCGGUGUCCUGUGUGAAUCUAAGUGUGCGUUCUCUAAUUCUCUCCUUCUCUCUUUCUUUCUCUCUCUCGGAGGACCUGAGCCCUAGGACCAUGCCCCAGGACUACCUGACAUGAUGGCUCCUCGCUGUCCCCAGUCCACCUGGCCAUGCUGCUGCUCCAGUUUCAACUGACCUGAGCCCUAGGACCAUGCCCCAGGACUACCUGACAUGAUGACUCCUUGCUGUCCCCAGUCCACCUGGCCAUGCUGCUGCUCCAGUUUCAACUGGCCUGGGCCCUAGGACCAUGUCCCAGGACUACCUGACAUGAGGACUCCUUGCUGUCCCCAGUCCACCUGGCCAUGCUCCUGCUCCAGUUUCAACUGUUCUGCCUUACUAUUAUUCAACCAUGCUGGUCAUUUAUGAACAUUUGAACAUCUUGGCCACGUUCUGUUAUAAUCUCCACCCGGCACAGCCAGAAGAGGACUGGCCACCCCACAUAUGCUCUCUCUAAUUCUCUCUUUCUUUCUCUCUCUCGGAGGACCUGAGCCCUAGGACCGUGCCCCAGGACUACCUGACAUGAUGGCUCCUUGCUGUCCCCAGUCCACCUGACUGUGCUGCUGCUCCAGUUUCAACUGUUCUGCCUUAUUAUUAUUCGACCAUGCUGGUCAUUUAUGAACAUUUGAACAUCUUGGUCAUGUUCUGUUAUAAUCUCUACCCGGCACAGCCAGAAGAGGACUGGCCACCCCACAUAGCCCGGUUCCUCUCUAGGUUUCUUCCUAGGUUUUGGCCUUUCUAGGGAGUUUUUCCUAGCCACCGUGCUUUUACACCUGCAUUGUUUGCUGUUUGGGGUUUUAGGCUGGGUUUCUGUACAGCACUUUGAGAUAUCAGCUGAUGUACGAAGGGCUAUAUAAAUAAAUUUGAUUUUAUUUUAUUUAGAGGAGGCAGGUAGCCUAGUGGUUAGAGUGUAGAGGUGGCAGGUAGCCUAGUGGUUAGAGUGUAGAGGUGGCAGGUAGCCUAGUGGUUAGAGUGUAGAGGUGGCAGGUAGCCUAGUGGUUAGAGUGUAGAGGUGGCAGGUAGCUUAGUGGUUAGAGUGUAGAGGUGGCAGGUAGCCUAGUGGUUAGAGUGUAGAGGUGGCAGGUAGCCUAGUGGUUAGAGUGUAGAGGUGGCAGGUAGCUUAGUGGUUAGAGUGUAGAGAUGGCAGGUAGCUUAGUGGUUAGUGCGCUGGACUAGGUAACCGAAAGGUUGCAAGAUCAAAUCUCAGAGCUGACAAGGUACAAAUCAGUCGUUCUACCCCUGAACAAGGCAGUUAACCCCACUGUUCCCCGCUAGGCCAUCAUUGAAAAUAAGAAUUUGUUCUUAACUGACGUGCCGAGUUGAAUAAAGGUAAAUAAAAAAUG